UACGUAGGUGGCAAGCGUUUGUCCGGAAUUAUUGGGCGUAAAGCGCGCGCAGGCGGUCUUUUAAGUCUGAUGUGAAAGCCCACGGCUCAACCGUGGAGGGUCAUUGGAAACUGGGAGACUUGAGUGCAGAAGAGAAGAGUGGAAUUCCACGUGUAGCGGUGAAAUGCGUAGAGAUGUGGAGGAACACCAGUGGCGAAGGCGACUCUUUGGUCUGUAACUGACGCUGAGGCGCGAAAGCGUGGGGAGCAAACAGGG
rnacentral:rRNA from 1 species